rfam:Cricetulus griseus cell line CHO-K1, whole genome shotgun sequence.
GGAGAGAUGGCUCAGGGGUCAAGAGCACUAGCUUUUCUUCCAGAGGACCUGGGUUUGAUUCCCAGCGUCCUCA